ACUCCUACGGGAGGCAGCAGUGGGAAUCUUAGACAAUGGGGAAAGCCCUCGAUCUAGCCAUGCCGCGUGAGCGAUGAAGGCCUUAGGGUUGUAAAGCUUCUUUCAGCGGGAAGAUAAUUGACGGUACCCGCAGAAGAAGCCCCGGCUAACUCCGCUGCCAGCAGCCGCGGUAAUACGGAGGGGCUAGCGUUGUUCGGGAAUUACUGGGCGUAAAGCGCGCGUAGGCGGAUUGGAAAGUCAGAGGUGAAAU
rnacentral:rRNA from 1 species